rnacentral:misc_RNA from 1 species
CAACAAAGUUGAGAAAUAAGGGAUGACAAAUUUGAUGCAAUCUGACACUGGGCCUGAUUCCAAGUACGAAGGAAGAAUUUUAAGCCUUUCAAUUUCAUCAUCAAACCAUGUCCCGACCAUCCAACCACAUGAUUGUUAGUCCACUAGGAUUCCACUAAGGGGCGGAAAGAAGACUCCUGAAGCCAAGAGUUCUCAAAACGAAACACUAAUCAAUAUCACUAGAUGUAAGAGCCAAAGGAAAG